AUCCGCAUGGCUCCCUGCAGGUGCCAGCCCAGGCUGUAGGAGUUCAAGCCACCCAAGUGUGAAGACACAGGCCACUGCUACUUGGUCCCACCAACAGUCUCAGUAUCGGAGUGUUAAUUUGGUCUCUGUAUGGCUCUUUGUUGAUCUUUCAGGGUUAGUGGCACAUUCAGUGGGGUGGGAGGUGAUGUGCUGCAACGACAUUUCUCUCUCUUCUUGGGUUCUGAACCAACAGUGAAAUAAGAUGAAAGGAAUCUGAAGUGUUGAGAACCACUGGUUUAGGAGAACAAUCCCUUCUCUUAGAAACCCGUGGUGUGGGGAAGAGGAGUUUCCCCCUCUAACACAUUACAUGUGGAUAAAAUGCUUCCCAGAGGCAUUUAGAUGAUUUGUUGUGGAAUUUUACCAACCUAAUGCAUUAAUAAUGAAUGAACAAGUAAAAAUAGUAACACUCCCUCAUGAGGGCCUGGUGUGUGCCCUGCGCUGGGCAUAUGUAUCUCAUUUAAUGCUCUUCAGAUGACGGUGAGUUCCUUAGUUCUGUGUGAUUGAAGAGGAAGCUGAACCUGGGAAAAGCGUAGAAAUGUCCCCGAGGUCUUGUGGCUGGGUUUCAUCUUGAAUUUAUGGUGAAUACAGUCAUUUGGCCACACUGCCUUUUCUCCAAAGAUUUGGAGAAGCGAAAAUGCCAUACACAUGCUUUAACCCCCUUUCCCUUAACGAAACAAAACAAAAAAAAACGCAAUCCAGCCAAUACCUGGGUAUUUUACAAACAUUUUAGGGAGGGGGUCUGGCAACAUAGGUAAAUUUCAUUCCAGCAGUUAAAUACCUGAGGACUAGAGGGGUUAGCAGUGGCAGGGGUAAGGGUUGAAACACAAUUGCUGUUUAACAUAAGGUUAAAGCAACAAACAGUGCUUACUGUUCGCUCAGCUGCCUGUUUGUUAUGCAGGAAACACUAAAUUAGGAGUUUGGUUACAGAGCCUGAGUGUUGUGUGGAAGGGACCCAAGAAAGUGUUCUUUCUAUACAAAAUCAUUUGCUGUAUGGAAUGUAUUGUACCUAGCACUGUGUGUGUGGGCCACUGGCUUAAACUGUGUCCCUAUUGAGGCACACAUUGGCAUAAACAAUUUACCUUUAUAAAGACGUCCGAAAUUUAGCAUUCAAAAUUGUGGGAGUGGAGAAAAAUGUGUGAGAAAAAUGGAACCUAAGAUUGGGACUUUUCUAAGUAAUUCUUUUGUAUUUCCCAAGUUAUAGUCCUUAUAUGGAAGGUUUUCAUGGAUGGUCAUUACUGGGAUCGUCAUACGUUGUUCAUUCUGUCUGGGUUCAUAUGUUAUAGGUUCUCGUAUACUUUUGUUAGGAUAUGGUUUACUUUUAUUAAUAAAACUCAUAUACAUUGUC